rnacentral:rRNA from 1 species
GAUGAACGCUGGCGGCGUGCCUAAUACAUGCAAGUCGAGCGAACGGACGAGAAGCUUGCUUCUCUGAUGUUAGCGGCGGACGGGUGAGUAACACGUGGAUAACCUACCUAUAAGACUGGGAUAACUUCGGGAAACCGGAGCUAAUACCGGAUAAUAUUUUGAACCGCAUGGUUCAAAAGUGAAAGACGGUCUUGCUGUCACUUAUAGAUGGAUCCGCGCUGCAUUAGCUAGUUGGUAAGGUAACGGCUUACCAAGGCAACGAUGCAUAGCCGACCUGAGAGGGUGAGCGGCCGCACUGGAACUGAGACACGGUCCAGACUCCUACGGGAGGCAGCAGUAGGGAAGCUUCCGCAAUGGGCGAAAGCCUGACGGAGCAACGCCGCGUGAGUGAUGAAGGUCUUCGGAUCGUAAAACUCUGUUAUUAGGGAAGAACAUAUGUGUAAGUAACUGUGCACAUCUUGACGGUACCUAAUCAGAAAGCCACGGCUAACUACGUG